CCUACGGGAGGCAGCAGUGGGGAAUAUUGCACAAUGGGCGAAACCCUGAUGCAGCGACGCCGCGUGAGUGAAGAAGGAUUUCGGUAUGUAAAGCUCUAUCAGCAGGGAAGAAAAUGACGGUACCUGUUUAAGAAGCCCUGGCUAUCUACGAGCCAGCAGCCGCGGUAAUACGUAGGGGGCAAGCGUUAUCCGGAUUUACUGGGUGUAAAGGGAGCUUAGACGGCAGCACAAGUCUGGAGUGAAAGGCCGGGGCUUAACCCCGGAACUGCUUUGGAAACUGUGCAGCUAGAGUGCAGGAGAGGUAAGUGGAAUUCCUGGUGUAGCGGUGAAAUGCGUAGAUAUUGGGAGGAACACCGGUGGCGAAGGCGGCUUACUGGACUGUAACUGACGUUGAGGCUCGAAAGCGUGGGGAGCAAACAGGAUUAGAUACCCUGGUAGUC
rnacentral:rRNA from 1 species